GCUAGGGUUUGUAGUCCCCGUUGCAGCCCGGGCCUGUGGCGUGCUGAGUCACCACCCUAGAAGCUCUCAGUGGGGUUUUUCCAUAACUUUGAGGUUUGGAAAUGUCCCAGACUCUCCUGCUCUAGCUGGAAUCUCAUCUCUGGCGUUCCCAGAGGCUUUCUGCCCUCUCUGGGAAACAGCUGCUCAAAGACGGAAAGGCUGGAAAUGGAGCCCCAGGCCUUGCAUACGCUAGCCAUAUGACUGCACGUGAUCAAAGAUGAUUGCCGUCUCCUGAAUGAUCCAGGCUCCGUACAGAUACUCACCUUUUCUGUUAGUAUACUUGGUACAUGCCCAAGCUAUGUGAUCUUAAACAAAUGACCUAACCUCUCUGACGUUCGGCUGUUAUCCUGGCCAGGGCUUCCCGAGGGAGAGCUUGAGGAAAAGGUUUGUGAAGAGGUAGUUUGUUUGAGAAUGUGACUCCAGGAAGCAGGAAAGAUGGGCAGGGGACUGAAUCCUAGAAGAAAACCUGUAUAAGGCGGGUCAGCACACUGGCAAACGCUGUGGGUAUCUAGGGCUCCCUGCCAUCAUGACCUUCCCCAGAAAACCUGAAAUGUCUCAGAAUUGUCUUCUGGAGAACAAGCGCUUACCCACUGGCUCCUCUCUCCUAAUGGUCAAGGGAGACCCACAGACCCUAAGUUCCGCGUGCUUAUGAGCUACAUAUGCUGAGAUGGGUGCCCUUUGGUUAUCUACUUCUCUGUAUUCAGGAAACGUGUUCGCUAGGUUUUGGUCAACUUGACACAAUCUCGAUUCAUCUGAGAAGAAGGAACCACAAUUCCAGAAGACUGACCUGUGGGGCGUUUUCUUUAUUAAUGGUUAAUGUGGGAGAACCCAGUCGUUGGUUGGUGCCACCCUUGAGUAGGGGGUCAUGGAUGGUAUAUGAAUGCAAUCUGAGCAAACCAUGUAGAGCGAGUAAGGAAGCAGCUCUCUUCCAUGGCCUCUGCAUCAGUUCCUGUCUCCACAUUCUUGUCCUGCUUGAG